AAUACGUGAGUAACCUGCCCUUGACUCUGGGAUAAGCCUGGGAAACUGGGUCUAAUACUGGAUACUACCUCUUACCGCAUGGUGGGUGGUGGAAAGGGUUUUACUGGUUUUGGAUGGGCUCACGGCCUAUCAGCUUGUUGGUGGGGUAAUGGCUCACCAAGGCGACGACGGGUAGCCGGCCUGAGAGGGUGACCGGCCACACUGGGACUGAGACACGGCCCAGACUCCUACGGGAGGCAGCAGUGGGGAAUAUUGCACAAUGGGCGGAAGCCUGAUGCAGCGACGCCGCGUGAGGGAUGACGGCCUUCGGGUUGUAAACCUCUUUCAGUAGGGAAGAAGCGAGAGUGACGGUACCUGCAGAAGAAGCGCCGGCUAACUACGUGCCAGCAGCCGCGGUAAUACGUAGGGCGCAAGCGUUGUCCGGAAUUAUUGGGCGUAAAGAGCUCGUAGGCGGUUUGUCGCGUCUGCUGUGAAAGCCCGGGGCUCAACCCCGGGUCUGCAGUGGGUACGGGCAGACUAGAGUGCAGUAGGGGAGACUGGAAUUCCUGGUGUAGCGGUGAAAUGCGCAGAUAUCAGGAGGAACACCGAUGGCGAAGGCAGGUCUCUGGGCUGUUACUGACGCUGAGGAGCGAAAGCAUGGGGAGCGAACAGGAUUAGAUACCCUGGUAGUCCAUGCCGUAAACGUUGGGCACUAGGUGUGGGGGACAUUCCACGUUUUCCGCGCCGUAGCUAACGCAUUAAGUGCCCCGCCUGGGGAGUACGGCCGCAAGGCUAAAACUCAAAGGAAUUGACGGGGGCCCGCACAAGCGGCGGAGCAUGCGGAUUAAUUCGAUGCAACGCGAAGAACCUUACCAAGGCUUGACAUUCACCGGACCGCCCCAGAGAUGGGGUUUCCCUUCGGGGCUGGUGGACAGGUGGUGCAUGGUUGUCGUCAGCUCGUGUCGUGAGAUGUUGGGUUAAGUCCCGCAACGAGCGCAACCCUCGUUCUAUGUUGCCAGCACGUGAUGGUGGGGACUCAUAGGAGACUGCCGGGGUCAACUCGGAGGAAGGUGGGGAUGACGUCAAAUCAUCAUGCCCCUUAUGUCUUGGGCUUCACGCAUGCUACAAUGGCCGGUACAAAGGGUUGCGAUACUGUGAGGUGGAGCUAAUCCCAAAAAGCCGGUCUCAGUUCGGAUUGAGGUCUGCAACUCGACCUCAUGAAGUCGGAGUCGCUAGUAAUCGCAGAUCAGCAACGCUGCGGUGAAUACGUUCCCGGGCCUUGUACACACCGCC
rnacentral:rRNA from 1 species